AAGGAUCAUGGCUCAGGAUGAACGCUAGCGACAGGCCUAACACAUGCAAGUCGAGGGGCAGCGAAGAGGUAGCAAUACCUUUGCCGGCGACCGGCGCACGGGUGAGUAACACGUAUGCAAUCCACCUGUAACAGGGGGAUAACCCGGAGAAAUCCGGACUAAUACCCCAUAAUAUGGGCGCUCCGCAUGGAGAGCCCAUUAAAGAGAGCAAUUUUGGUUACAGACGAGCAUGCGCU
rnacentral:rRNA from 1 species